AGGGAGACAACAAAAUGUUUAAUAUUAUUAUUUUGUCACCUUAGGUCGAUCGGUAUCUCACGUUUUUAAUUUAUUAAGAAUUUCAUUUCCUAAGUUUUUCUAGGUCACACCCAUUAUUUUCCUGGGCCAUUAGCUCAGGUGGUUAGAGCGCACCCCUGAUAAGGGUGAGGUCCCUGGUUCAAGUCCAGGAUGGCCCAUAUCUCUAUGUUGGGGGUAUAGCUCAGUUGGUAGAGCGCCUGCUUUGCAAGCAGGAUGUCAGCGGUUCGAGUCCGCUUACCUCCACUGAUUACCACCUCUUCCAUAAUUCGUAGAAGGGAAAUGUUAUGUGUUGUGAUCAACUUCUGAACGAAUCUAGCUUCCUAAUGAAAUCAUUAAGAUGCUGGACUCAUUGAAUUAAUUUCAUUGUUUUCAGAGAACCUUGACAACUGCAUAGAUUAUUUUUAAAGACAAUAAGCAUCUUUAAUGAUGCAGAUUUAUUAUUUGUGCGAAUGCAUUAAUAACAAUUCUAUUAAGCUGAUGCUUCAAUUUUGAAGUUAUU
rnacentral:tRNA from 1 species